GGACGAACGCUGGCGGCGUGCUUAACACAUGCAAGUCGAACGGAAAGGCCCUGCUUUUGUGGGGUGCUCGAGUGGCGAACGGGUGAGUAACACGUGAGUAACCUGCCCUUGACUUUGGGAUAACUUCAGGAAACUGGGGCUAAUACCGGAUAGGAGCUCCUGCUGCAUGGUGGGGGUUGGAAAGUUUCGGCGGUUGGGGAUGGACUCGCGGCUUAUCAGCUUGUUGGUGGGGUAGUGGCUUACCAAGGCUUUGACGGGUAGCCGGCCUGAGAGGGUGACCGGCCACAUUGGGACUGAGAUACGGACCAGACUCCUACGGGAGGCAGCAGUGGGGAAUAUUGCACAAUGGGCGGAAGCCUGAUGCAGCAACGCCGCGUGCGGGAUGACGGCCUUCGGGUUGUAAACCGCUUUCGCCUGUGACGAAGCGUGAGUGACGGUAAUGGGUAAAGAAGCACCGGCUAACUACGUG
rnacentral:rRNA from 1 species